UUACCAAGAAGGUGCGUAAGGAAACUCCCCAGGGGAACGGUAAAGGUCUGACUAAGGGUCAUAGUUUGGUUUAGUUACACAGUUGUAUGCCUAGGUCUGAACUCAUGGAUUGCUACACCGGAGAUCUGCACAUUUCAUUGCACGUAAAGUCUAUUUCAAAAGGGGGAAGAAAGGAACCAGCAGCAAAUAGUGAAUUCUAAUGAUACGCUUGGUGGAGUGUUUAAGGAUGAAAUGUACUUACAUCUGCAACUCACUUGGAAAUGCACGGAAAGAUGAAGCCGUGGCUCAGAGAGAUUGAGUUGUCUGCCUGAAGAUUGAUGUCCUGCUCCAUCUGUCAGCAGGGUGACUUGAAUUUAACCAUGGAGAGACAGCCCUUUGUUCUGGGGAGACACCACCAUGGACCUGUUCAUUUUCUACAGCUACUCUUCCAAAGGGACUCCGGUGCCAUUAUUAACCUGAAUGCUGACGAGUCAAGUGUUUAUUUUGAUCGUGAAAGCUGGAUGUAUCUCUUAUCUGUGACACAAAAAUACAAGGCAAAUGAAUAGGAGAAACUGAGACCCAGAAAGGAGGGCCCUUGGCUGAGGCCAGAGACCAAGGCCCACAUCUCUGGUACACCCUGCAUAUCACCCAGAGCAGGUCUGUGCACAAAGGAGGUGCUCACUCCAUCCCUGCCAACAAGCGGACGUUAACUUUCUGCAGGUGAGUUAGCACCACACAUUGACACGCGCUUCCGACCUUUGCCCGAUAACCGGCUCUGGUUCAUUCAUCCAUGAAUGGAAAUGAGCUCACAGAAGAGGCUACUUAACAUUACUGGCCCGAGCCCGGCCUAAUUCUCCUGCAGCCAGCCAUGACUGCCCGGGUCCAUGCCCCCCACUAUCUACUCCACCAAGUCCACCACUCUUCACCCCUCUUCCCCUAAGAACACACCACAGGGGCGCCUGGGUGGCUCAGUCUGUUAAGCGUCAGGCUUCGGCUCAGGUCGCGAUCUCAUGGUUCGUGAGUUCCAGCCCUGCAUUGGGCUCUGUGCCGACAGCUCGGAGCCUGGAGCCUGCUUCGGAUUCUGUUUCCCUCUAUCUCUCUCUGCUCCUCCCCCGCUCGCACUUUGUCUGUCUCUCUCAAAAAAAAAUUAAUAAACAUUAAAAAAAAUUAGAAAGGCCUUUCUUAAAAAAACAAAAGACAAAAACACACAGCACAGCCCCAGCCCAGGACAGGGUCCCUUGAGAAGCUAACACCGAAUGAAAGAAUCCGAGAGAGGCAGAGCUGACUGGAGUCUUUGCAGUGCUGCUGCCUGGUUUCGUUGGGGUUCUGCCUCAUUUCUGUCAUUCACAGGUUGGUGACUUCCUGACUUCCUGCUGCCCACGGUAGCUGUCCCUGUGACCCUCAGGCUAGAGGCAGGCAGUUUGGGCCACCUCCCCCAGCAGCGGCAAGUCCGGGUGGCGGUAACGGUGCAUCUUUUAUUGAGUUAGCGGGUUAACGGGCACAUAAAACACACACAACUUGUCAGCCUGUUGGCUGCUGCCACCACCAUAAUGCUCUCCUGCCUCAGGCUCCACUGGAUUGCUCGUCAGCUUGCUCUCUCCCUCCCUCUCCUUCUCCUCGUGAUGUUGUUGCUUUGUUUGUUUUUCUGGGGUUUUGUUGUUGUCAUUGUUCUGUUUUUGUCAAAGUCUCUCUCUUCCCAACCUGCACCUCCUCCCUCCCCGAACAGCUAAAGGGUCCCUAGAAACAUUAUUAUUUAUUUAUUUUCAAUCGUUUCCCUGGGCAGUCGGUUCCUGAGAAGACUGAGCCUUGAAGGCUCAGAUGCCUCUGCCAAGUUAUCUGUCCCUUCCCAGGACACUCAGGUUCAAGGACAGAGGCAGCCCAGAAAGAGUUUCAGUCCAUCGAAGGAUGAGGCACAUGGCUUAGAGCACUUGCCAGAUGCCCGACACCAGUGUCAGCUGAGCACACAGGCUCACGCUGCCCACCAGGGCAGGCACAAGGCCAGCACCGUCCCUGGCAGGCGGUGACCACGUGCACCUCCACCUACCCACACCUCCAAAACCCCACGCCUGCAUGCACGCACGCAGAAGUCCAUAUCUACACGCCCAGACCCCACCAUACAAACAUUCUCAGAAAAUCCACAUUCCGGAUGGGUACUCCUAAGGAUCUACACUUGAAAGAGCGCACACGCACGCUGCAAGGUGCAUUCUCCAGUCUGCACGUACACGCCUCAUACACAUAUACUCUCGACGGCUUCGGUCUGCACGCACAUACCGAGGUCACCACACCCUCAACCAUCCACGUGUACAUUCAUGUGUGUAGACACCACAUCAUCAACAGGCCAUUAUUCACAUAUAUCCCCACAAAGAUGCACCUUCAGUACUGAUACUAAUCAUGGGUGCCCUCAAAACUGUCUAUUUCUGCAUGCACGGCGCCCAACUAUUUACAUACACUACCAGGAGCUGAACCCUGUGUGCACACUUCUGAUGUGCAUAUACCUCCAACAGACCACAUCUGCACACACUCACCCCGGAUACACCCAGCCUCAACCACCCACAUCUGCCAGCUGCACUUCUGCGUACACAUCCGCUGUUUGCCGGCCAUGUCUGCAUGUGCCCACCCUACAUACACACUUCCUGGGCAUAUCCCCAAACCUCCAUGUCUGCCACAUCCUCAUAGAAACUGGUACUCCCACCAGCCUAUCUGCAAGUCAGACUUUAAUGUGUAUUUCAGAUAUAUGUGUAAGCACCUCAUGUACACAUACAUACUUGAUCCCCUUUGCUUAUAUCCCAGGCACAUGAACUCUUAACCCCUAUCAGUAUGUAUAUUCCAUGUAAACAUCCCAUAAUAUUCUACUGUCUGUAUGUUCACAUUACAUGUCCCCAGAUAAGACACCAAUUCUGCCCUUGCUCAUACUCUGACGUCUUCCCGUCUUCAUGCACAUCUCAAAUGUGUGUGCUCACACCUCUGAAUGCCCUAUUCUACAUGUGCGUGCAUACAGGUUACAUAGACCCCAGUACAUGGACACACACACACUCAAGUCUGACAUUGCCACAUGCAAAGGCAACCACGUACAGCUCCCUCUACCACCCCGUGCCUGUAUCAAAUGCCACCAUCAAUUCAAUUUAAUUAAGACUGAACUAAACUCUUGGGCCUGGAGAAGAGUCUGUCUGGUGUUGGAAAUAGGGAGAUGAAAAAGACAGCAUUGAGGAGGGCACUUGUUGGGAUGAGCACUGGCUGUUGCAUGUAAGUAAUGAAUCACUAAAUUCUACUCCUGAAACCAUUAUUACACUGCCUGUUAACUAACUUGGAAUUUAAAAAAAAAAGAAAAAAAAAAAAAGAGCAGGGACCUUACCCUCAGGGAGGUCUCAGUCUAGGAAGAGAAAUGGACAAGAAAGCAGACAGUUACAACAAAAGCUGAUUAGUUCAGUCAUGGAAAUAGGUGUGCACACAAGCACACACCCUCAGGAGAUCCAGAUUUACAGGAACAUUCUACAUGCAUACAGAUGCACAAAUGGACACACCAUUCACAUCCCCACUCUGUGCCCAAACCCCACGAUUUUAACCAUGAUCAGUCACUUCAAUUAGGCAUAGGGGCUUAAAAAGCCACCCAUCAAGCGCCUCUCUCAUGCUAAAGCUGCUGUUAGGGCGAGAAUGUUCUCUCAUGAGCACCGUCACUGCUUGGACUGAAUCUCUCUUCUUGGCUGUUCACUGAGUACCUAGUCCAGCACUGACACAGCCUUGGGUGUCGGGAGUGGUCUCUCCAACAAUGGACCAACUUCAUUCUCAGCCUGACCUCAGACAAGCCACAGGCUUUGAAGUUACCCUCUCCACUCUUUGCCUUCUACAGAGGCUGCUGUGGCCAUGAUAAGCCCAAGGGAUCAUUCCUGCUCACUCCUCCUUGCUUGAGCUCCAGCAGCUCUGAUAUGCUUAUUUUUUAUAGCUAAUCCAAUUCCAUUCUGAAUUCCUAGGAUUUUAGUGUCUAAAGCAGAGGUCAAACAACUAUGCCUCAUAGACCAAAUCUGGCCCACCAUCUGUUUUUGUAAAUAAAGUUUUAUUGAGACGCAGUCACACACAUUUAUUUAAGUAUUGUCUAUGGUUGCUUUGGGGCUAUAACGACUGAGUUCAGCCUCGGUCUGAGACUGAGACUAUGGCUGGUCAAACCUAAAAUAUUUACUAUCUGACCCUUCGCAGAAGGUGUUAGCCAAAGGGGCAUCAAGUACGGAGGUACUAGUCCUACUCUGGCCUUCUCUGGUUAAAACAGCACAUUUUAAGAGGUAAAUAGAGAAACUGCAGAGUGCAGAGGGAGAAGACCAGGAAGGAAAGGGAUCCAAAUUACUUCUUUAACUCAUCAGAUGUCGACGGAGUGCCUCCCAUCUGCCGACACUCUGCUGGGCACAAGGUUACAGCAGUGAAAAGAACAUAGCUCCUGUCCUCCUAAACUAAACAAGGCUAUUAGCGGACAUUAAACCACAGCUCUUACAAGGACUGCAUAGUGAGCAAUGUGAUAAAUACUGAGAAGACAAAAAGUGGGCAGUGUUGGGGCCAGGAAAACAAACUCAGAAAUACUUUGAUGGGUGACCUCAAAUAUGUGAGGGAAUGAUGUGGCAAAGGGAUUGGACAAGCUCUCUGGGCUUUCCCAAGUGGGCUCUGGGAUCAGAGCAGCACAGGAAAUACAGGAAGACUCUGUCUUAGUGAGUCAAGGAGAUUUUAACCCUCAGCACUGCCCUACAAUGGGCCCUGCACCACAAAAGCUUGUGUACUCCAUAUUAUUAAUGAAGGAGAAUCAUUUGGGGGAUGAGUAGAGGGGACUGGUGCUUGGGAUUGGCCUACAUGACGUCUGUGCCCAAGUGUAAGGCUCACCAUGGCUUCUCAAGAUGAUGCAUCAAGCUAAGCUUUGCCAAUAUUCCCUCUCCGUUCCCAGCAUCCUCUGCUCCUGUUAUGCAGACAUAAGGGAUGGCGGCCUCUCCCAACCUGGCCCUUGGGUAGGCCAUGGGCAGCUCCUGUCACAGUGUGCUGUGAGGGCGUCCAUCACUCCUGUGGUCGUCAUGGGUUCCUACUUAAACCAGUUGAAAAUAAGUUUCCAUACCAACUGGCUUCUUCAAAGAUCCUGAGAACCUCCUCCUCCUUCUCACAAAGGACCCCAACCUUUUUCCACUUGCUCUCUCCCCUCAAGCUCCAAACUUUUCCAUCUCUCCUUUGAGUCUUCCAAGCCCCUCUCCUCUUCAGCCCCUCAGGUGGCAUCCAAGGGGCCAUGCCUGAUCCUCUCUUGCAGAAGGUUCAAAGGAGGAUGUCGAAGUUUGGCCUCAUCCUUAACCCAGGAUUCUUGGUGCCCACUCCUUGUUCAUUCCCUCCCACCAGGGGCAUACUUCCCAGAUCUGGACAUCAAAGACACAGAUAAGAGCAAGAGGGAUGAGAAGAUGACAGCAAGAAAGAAGGCAGGAUCAGGACAAAGAAAGGACGCAAGCAAAAUGCAAGACAAAAUAAAAGGGCAAAUGGGGAAAGCCUUAAGAACUCUGGUUUUAAGUGGCCUGAUAAUUAAAUAACAAGGGUUUGGUGGGGGAGCCCACCUUUCAAAAUCCCUGCAAUGGCAAAGCUAUGAAAACCCA